GAUCUAGCUGCGGUUGAGGCUCCMGCUAUAAAUGGAUAAAAUCUUGGUCUUAAUGUAUACGAGUUUUUGAACGUAAAGGAGCAAUAAUUAAUUUAUUGUUCUAUCAAGAGGGUUAAUAUUGCUCCUUUACUUUUUAGUAGUUUCAUACAUCAAUUUUGUAUUUACUUCAACAUUCUUUACCMUUGUUUUAAGAUAAGAAAAAAAAAAAAAAUAUKGGAGUUUCAUACUUUUUGUUUCUUUUUUACUAAUUUUUUUUWUACGUUUUUCUCVGCAAUCUUUAUUUAUUUUUUGAAAUGAAAAAUAAAAAAAAAUGAGAAAUGAAGGUUUUAAUUCUDGUCUUUUCUAUCUUAGAAGACGAGUCAAAACUUCAAAAUA
rnacentral:misc_RNA from 1 species